rnacentral:rRNA from 1 species
GACGAACGCUGGCGGCGUGCUUAACACAUGAAAGUCGAACGAAGUGGCGAACGGGUGAGUAACGCGUAAACAACCUGCCCUUCAGAGGGGGACAACAGUUGGAAACGACUGCUAAUACCGCAUACUGAAGGAGGGGAUUGCGUCGGAUUAGCUCGUUGGAGGGGGAACGGCCCACCAAGGCGAUGAUCAGGAGCAGGUCUGAGAGGAGGAACGGCCCCAUUGGCACUUGUACACGGCCCAGACUCCGACGGGAGGCAGACGUGGGGAAUCGUCCGCAAUGGACGAAAGUCUGACGGAGCAACGCCGCGUGAGUGAUGACGGCCUUCGGGUUGUAAAGCUCUGUUAAUCGGGACGCGGUACCGGAAUAGAAAGCCACGGCUAACUACGUGCCAGCAGCCGCGGUAAUAC